GGGCUCCACGUUGGGACUGUUGGAAGGUCAACGACCAUCAGGGUCACCGACAGCAACGGGCUGUUUGUUAAUAAGACUUUAUUAACAAACAGGAUUAUUUCAUCUCCAACUGAGUUAAUUUCCCGUGGAUAAAUGAUGAAGGCCGUCUGAGCAGACAUGACGGUAAAGGAAGCACAUUGAUAAAGACGGACCAGGUGAGUAUCGGCGGCAGAGAUUCCUGCUCACAGGUGUGGGAGGAAGAGGAGUCGGGAGGAGAAAGGAGCUGGAAAAAAAUCCAAAUGUCUGGAUUUUCACACCGUUAAUUCAGCCGUGCAGAGCUUCAUCGCACCAUUCUCUCACUCUUCUCCGCUCCUGUCGGAAACAUGCUAAUUAGGGAAGCCGACUGACGUGAGCGAGGUUUAAAGGGUAAUUAGCAUAAAAAUCCUACAUGCUGUA